GAGGGAGAGACGCAGACGACAUAGGGCUGUUUCUGAAGGGAGCAGAAAGUGGUUCCUGCAUAAGAACACUUAGGAGGACAAGCAGCUGGAGACCGUGGGCCCCAAGGUAAAAGACAUGUAGUCUCUGCCAACUUCACCCUCCAUGAGGCUUACUGCCUGCGGUUCCUGGUCCUGUGUCCGGAGUGUGAGGAGCCUGUCCCCAAGGAAACCACGGAGGAGCACUGCAAGGUGGAGCACCAGCAGGUUGGGUGUACGAUGUGUCAGCAGAGCAUGCAGAAGUCCUCGCUGGAGUUUCAUAAGGCCAAUGAGUGCCAGGAGCGCCCUGUUGAGUGUAAGUUCUGCAAACUGGACAUGCAGCUCAGCAAGCUGGAGCUCCACGAGUCCUACUGUGGCAGCCGGACAGAGCUCUGCCAAGGCUGUGGCCAGUUCAUCAUGCACCGCAUGCUCGCCCAGCACAGAGAUGUCUGUCGGAGUGAACAGGCCCAGCUCGGGAAAGGGGAAAGAAUUUCAGCUCCUGAAAGGGAAAUCUACUGUCAUUAUUGCAA
rnacentral:lncRNA from 1 species